AUGGCUAGGCAGAAACCUCCCGCGGUCCUCCAGUUCGGCUUGGGACUCCCUGGCUGCGCCUUCUUCGCCUUUGACGGUGACCUUCCUGUUCGGGAGGUGGCACCUGCGCUGUCCAAUGCGGCGAUUGUCUCGGUCAAAGACCAAAAUAUUUCACCCCAAACUCUUCUGGAAGGGCUUCACAUUUGGGAUGUGGCUGGAUGGGACUGGCAAGUUGUGCAGAUGUCUGAUUUUGAUUUCUAUGUGGUGUUCCCCUCCAAAGAAUGCUUGCGUAUGAUUGCUUCUUGCACCAGCUUCACCUUGCCUCUCAAUCAAUUGGUGGUUUCUGUCAAAGCGGCUUCUUACAAUGGUACGACAGUUGGCCCUCUUUCUCAAGUGUGGGUUUUGAUCGAUGAUUUGCCUGCUGGUCUCUGCUCGCCUGCUUUCCUCAUGUCCUUUGGGGUUUUGAUUGGGAAACCUAUCAAGGUGGAUGAGGAUUCUUUGAACAAGGUUGGUCCUGCUAGGAUGAAGGUUUGGUGCGGGUGGAGGGGGCGGCGGCUUUCCAAGCCCCACCUCCCCCCUCCUCCUGCUAAUCCCUCAGACAAGCAUGACAAGGAGGGGGAUGGAUCUUUGGGUGGCCCUAAUCAGAGUUUUGGGUCUAAUCUUUGCUUCAAUCAAUCUGAAUGGGAUGGCCUGGCAGAUUCUGAAAGUGAGUUGUUUCAAUCCCAAGCUCCUUUUGGGGAUGCUCCUCGUGAUGACCCGGUGAUCUCCCCUGCUGCUCAGACUACUCCGACCGCUGUCGCUGAUUUGCCAAAGGUCCCGCCUUGCUCGACUACCCCAGUGUCUGGUGCCUGCUCCAAUCUUCCUGCUCGCCCACUCUCCCCCACCCGUUCGGGAAUUGAAGAUCUCCCUGUCUCCCCGGCUCGCGAUAUGCAAUCCAUGACGGGGAUCUGUCGGUGUCUUGAUCAAGAUCUAGGUUCUAUGUCCCACUCCGGUCCCCAUGUUGGUUCUCCUGCUGCGCGGUCGUCUGCUAUUCGAUCUCCGGUGUCCACGGCCCAGAAAGGAAGGCAGGUUGCGCACUCCGGUGGUUCUAUCCUGGAAAGGGCGGAGAAGCGGGCUGCGGCGAAGGAUCUCCCUCCCCCAGGUACCUCCCCAGCCUCUUCUGUCGCUGUUUCUCCUGUUCGGGUGGUUUUACCUUCUAUGUCUGAUGAUCAUCUUUUAAAUAUUAUGUCGGACAUGGGUUUGGUGGUCAAUUCUUCUGUUGGUUCUCCUAGUUUGCUUCUUGCUAUUAUUCGGGCUAAUGAACUGGCUCAGGCAGCCAUUGCUAAAGCCAAAGAGGCUGUUGCCUCGCGGGUCGAGGGUGUUGGUUGUGAUGCGGGGGUGGCUUUGGGUGCUGGUAGUGGCCAGCCCCUUUCCUGCUUUUCCAAGAGGGGCACUAAUAAACGUGCUAAAUCCUGCAUGGCCCCCUGCAGGUCGAGCCUCCGCAUCAAGAAUCUUUCGUGGGAGUCCUUGUUCCCUAGAACUUCUCUUAACGCCAAAUGCAUUGUCGGGUCUGAUCAUACCCCCUUCAUUCUUGACGACGGUUCCAUUUGCACUCGACCUCCGACUAGAUUUCAAUUUGAUGCUUCAUGGUUGUCGGUGGAUGGCUUUGCUGAUAUGGUUGCAGCGAAGAUUUCCCAAUCCCUCUCUUCCAAUUCCCGCUCGUUUGGGCCUCUGGAUGAUUGGCACUCGUGCUCCUAUGACUUGCGUAAGUUUCUUAGAGGUUGGUCUCGUAAUCGUGCGGCGGAGGAUCGUCGCACCAAAGCUUUUCUCGAAAACCAGAUCUUGGAGCUGGAUCGUGCUGCUGAUUCUACUGGGCUCUCUGACGAUGGAUGGGCCGUUCGUUAUAAUCUUGAGGUUGCUUUAAUGCAGUUGCACCACCAGGCCGAGAUUUAUUGGCGCCAGCGGGGCACUCUUAACUGGACUCUUAAAGGGGACUCUCCUACAGCCUACUUUUUGCGAUUGCGAACAGAAAUUUGGGAUGUUGUUAACUCUGCUAAUCCCAAUGCUGCUUCCGGGCCAGACGGUUUUUCCAUCCCCUUCUUUCGGAAAUUCUGGCCCCAGUUGAAACAGUUGAUCUCCAUCGCGAAGGUGGCUGCUAAUAAUUGGGAUUUGGCUUUUCGUCGGGCCCUGUCUCCUGAAGAGUUGGAAGAUUGGCAAAGUCUCUCUGCCCUCUUCCCUGUGCUCUCGGAGUCGGCCGACUCGUUUGCGGAGAUUAGGUGUUUCUCCCUCCCCGGCCUGCGCGCCGUGUAUGGCAGUUGCCUGUAUGUUUCCUGCUCUGGCUACUCUCAUCCUUUUGUUUAUACAAAGGAAACAGCGACCGGCCGUUUAAGCAACGCCACACGUAGUAGCUCCCGCGGACGCCACACCCUUGGCGCGCCACCCCCGCUCCUCUUCCCGUUCCCGUCCACGUCAUGCUCCACGUUGCACCCCUUCCGCAUGUGCCGCACCGCCUAUAUUACAUUCGCUGAUCGCGAGGACGAGAACACGCAGAAGUCAAGUCCCCCAAACCUGCAGAUCAGUGAUCCUACCAUCCUUGGCGUGCGCAGACUAGUCCCAACUCCCAACUCGUGA
rnacentral:rRNA from 1 species